rnacentral:rRNA from 1 species
GUCCUUUAGUAUAAAUAAUUUAAGGUCUAACCUGCCCACUGAUAUAUUUAAAGGCCGCAGUAAUUUGACUGUGCAAAGGUAGCAUAAUCAUUAGUUUUUUAAUUAAAAGCUUGUAUGAAUGGUUGGACGAGAUAAAAUCUGUCUCUGAUUAAUAGGUAAAAUUUAAUUUUUAAGUUAAAAAGCUUAAAUUAAUAUAAAAGACGAGAAGACCCUAUAGAUCUUAAUAUAAUAUUUUAAGAUUUUAUUUAAGAUUUUUUUAUUAAUUUUAUUAUUUUAUAUUUUAUUGGGGUAAUAAAAAGAUUGAAUUAAUUCUUUUUCAUAUUUUACAUAAAUAGAUGAUUAUUUGAUCCAUUAAUAUGAUUAUAAGAUUAAGUUACCUUAGGGAUAACAGCGUAAUUUUUUUAGAGAGUUCAUAUCGAUAAAAAAGUUUGCGACCUCGAUGUUGGAUUAAAAAUUAUUUUGGGUGUAGAAGUUCAAAAUUUUGGUCUGUUCGACCAUUAAAUUUUU